rnacentral:rRNA from 1 species
UACAGAGGGUGCGAGCGUUAAUCGGAAUUACUGGGCGUAAAGCGCGCGUAGGCGGCUUUGCAAGUCGAUUGUGAAAUCCCCAGGCUUAACCUGGGAACUGCAUUCGAGACUGCAUAGCUAGAGUAUGGGAGAGGGAAGUGGAAUUUCAGGUGUAGCGGUGAAAUGCGUAGAUAUCGGAAGGGACAUCAGUGGCGAAAGCGACUUCCUGGACCAAUACUGACGCUCAUGUGCGAAAGCGUGGGGAGCAAACAGG